UUUUUGGUUGCAAGAUUUUUUAUCCAUCUAAAUGCUUUUACUUCCAAAGAAAAACAUUAGAGAUGUAAGUAACGUGAAGAAAAUUUGCAUCUUAUCUCAUCAAGUAAUGUCUGCACUUUCUUUCUUCUGAAGAAAUCAUUCAUAUAUACGUAUAUAAAGGUUGUGUUCUAUAUAUACAUAUAGGCGUCAAGGGUCAUGGAGUAUGGACCAACGAUUUCCAUUGGGGUAGCUUUUUCGUGCAAGUAGGUUCUGAUCUUUAAAUUAAAGGCAAACAAAAUUUGACCUAUGAAUCAGGCCUUUGUUGGUUUGUUUAAGAGAUAUAAGAUAAAUAAAUUAGAAUUUUGUUAUAACUUAUGACAUUAAUUAAAUAAA
rnacentral:lncRNA from 1 species